UUAUUUUGAGAUAGUUUAAAAUGAAAUUUCUUGUUUUUAUUUUUGACCGUGCAUUUGAAUUUUUUAAUAUCUUCAUACGAAGCGCGACCCAGAUUCAUAGAAACAAGUCGACGGAAGUUCAUUGUUUCGAUUGUUCACUGCAGAGAGUCGUAGUCGUUAGAAGCAAGAUCCCUUGAUACUCGGUCGAGUUGAAGCUUUAGUUUUUGAAAGAUUAAGAGAGGUACUUCUAAUGGUACUUUUCUUAAGCAUAUUUAGUAAGACGAUAUGAACGUCUUCAAACACUGACUUUAGAUUGCGCUCUCGUCGUCUAUAUAAAUUAUAGAAAGGAUUUCUCGUUGAAGGAACCUUUAGUUUACUGACGUUUCAAGUAAUUUAACGAAAUUUCCUGUAUUUCGUUUGACAUCAAUAUCAUCUUCUAUUCUCGAGAAACUAUGAUAUUACUUACGGUAGAUAGAUAUCAUUUCCUUCCUGAAUUAUAGACGAAGUAAAAGUCAUACGGUACUAAUAAAUAUCAUCUAUGACGUUCGUGGGUGUUUCAAAUUUCGAUGGACGAGGUAAACUUCUCCCUUUGUCUACAUUGACGUCAAUGCGAAUUAAGUUUCUUAAGUGAUGCGUUAGAACAAAGUUUGUGGUAUAUUCAAUUACAAAAUAUCCGUUGUGGUUGAAUGAUUUUAGUUGGUAAUCAAACUCGCUAAAAUGUCAACUAAGUUUCCUUCGUAGAUACGUCGCAGAAAAUCGAAUAUUGAACUUGACCGAGCAAUUAGCAUAUCUAUUCAUUUUUUAGUGCUUAGACAUGGAAACAAAAGUAAUCGUCGAACUUUCGUGUCUUUUUUUUUCUUUUUCUUUUUCUUUUCCUUUUCUCGAUCGUUACAACUUUCCUAGCUUUAUUUCCAACAUGACGAGAGCGUCAAGGGAAUUAACGAUGUCCUUCGAAGGAGAGCCACUUUCCUUUAAUUUUAACUUUGGUCUUCCUCGCUAAAUCGUUCUCGCCCAGAUACUCUUUGAAAAAUCGUUGGUAGCUCGUUGGUAACAGCGUGAACGAGGCUUGCCAGUGCAAAUUAACUCUUCUCUCGAAGGCCUCUUAGAAUGGAAAAGACGGUGUUGAAGUGCUGGUAGGCGUUCUUACGGCCUGUUGUUUCAUUUAAUUUGCGAAACCUCAUUAUCGUGAGCAUAAUUUAAUAGCAUGCGGAAACUCAUUGAAGACACGAUCACGCGUCACUGUCGCUUUUCUUUUACCGCUUCUCUUGGGAGGGAUUAAGCAAGGGAAGAAAAUAGGAGAAGGAAAGUUAGAAAAGUCGUAGCGUGGGGAAGAGCUCGAAUAAAUUUAUUCCAUGAUCCCGAUGAAAAAGUGCAGAAAAAAAGUUCUUGGAAUCGAAGAACUUUGAUGUUUAUGUAUGUACAUAUUUCUUUUGAAAUUUAUUUACAUGAGUCAUCGGGUAUGUCACGUAUCAUGUAUUGACGCGAUAAACAUUGAAGACUAGGUCGAACGUAUUUGUGUAUAUACAUAGAUACGUCUUACUUAGUUAAAUCGACCUUGCUUUUACGUUACAAUUCAGUCUGUCUUUGGAUCGCCGGGAGUGAUGAAGUGAAGCAUUUCUGUUCUAUCGCAAAAGUCGUCACAUAUUUGAACUUUUACGGGAAGAAGAAAUUUGUAACGGAAGCAAAAUCGUUUCCAUUAAAGUGGAUGCCGUCGUAAGCGCUGUAAGCGAAGUACCAUUUCAAAUCGACGAAGCGAAAGUAGCGCGUAAGCCUUUAGAAAAUUUCUGUUACUAACAUUGCCGGGAAGAUCCGGAAAGGUUUCUCAACUAAAAGGAUUCUUCUAUAUAUGAUUCAUUUUUCAGUUGAUCAAACAAAAAAUAAUCCUAAAGUGAUGUUCAUUCUACGAGCAGUAUGAAGAGAAAGAGAGAAAGAACGAGAAAAAGAGAAACAGAGAGACAGAAAUAGAGAUAAAGAGAGAAUAAAUAUAGUAUACUAUAGUAGUUCUUGGUCAGCGCAAAUAAGAACACGACCUACUAAUUUUCAUGGACGUAUAUAACAGCAAUACCGUUAUUUCCCCUAAAAUUACGUUAGUAUUAUAUUUUAAGAAUUUAAAUUGCGUGUUAUAUUUCAUAGAUUAUUAUUACGUAGAUGAACUUAAGUAAAGAAAAUCAAUUUUCGUUAAUACAUGAUAUUAUUUAACAAAUGUUCAAGCUUUCGGUACACUAUAAAUAGUAUCGAUGAUUGUAACCGAGACUAAUACUACUAUAAAACAUGCGUUUAUACGAUAUAUAUAUAUAUAUAUAUAUAUAUAUAUAUAUAUUUGUUAGAACUCGAAACGUGACUAAAUGAAAAUUUGGGAAAAGGAGCUCAAUUUAAAAUUGGAACGUGCCCGAAAGCGUAAACUUUUUCCUACGACAAACGAUGCGUCUUUCAGACACGUAACUGUCAAAUUUUCUUUCGUAUAUCAGAAUGUAAAGGUU